GCCUGUGUGGCUCAGUCGGUUGAGCAUCUGACUUCAGCUCAGAUUAUGAUCUCGUGGUUCACAAGUUCGAGCCCCGCCUCAGGCU
rnacentral:tRNA from 1 species